rfam:Triticum urartu cultivar G1812 contig192349, whole genome shotgun sequence.
UUUGUACUCCCUCUCUGUCCCAAAAUUCUUGUCUUAAAUUUGUCUAAAUACAGAUGUAUCUAAUUACAUUUUAGUGUUAGAUACAUCAGUAUCUAAACAAAUGUAAGACAAGAAUUUUGGGACGGAGCGAAUACUAC